AAAUUGAAGAGUUUGAUCAUGGCUCAGAUUGAACGCUGGCGGCAGGCCUAACACAUGCAAGUCGAACGGUAACAGGAAACAGCUUGCUGUUUCGCUGACGAGUGGCGGACGGGUGAGUAAUGUCUGGGAAACUGCCUGAUGGAGGGGGAUAACUACUGGAAACGGUAGCUAAUACCGCAUAACGUCGCAAGACCAAAGAGGGGGACCUUCGGGCCUCUUGCCAUCAGAUGUGCCCAGAUGGGAUUAGCUAGUAGGUGGGGUAACGGCUCACCUAGGCGACGAUCCCUAGCUGGUCUGAGAGGAUGACCAGCCACACUGGAACUGAGACACGGUCCAGACUCCUACGGGAGGCAGCAGUGGGGAAUAUUGCACAAUGGGCGCAAGCCUGAUGCAGCCAUGCCGCGUGUAUGAAGAAGGCCUUCGGGUUGUAAAGUACUUUCAGCGGGGAGGAAGGGAGUAAAGUUAAUACCUUUGCUCAUUGACGUUACCCGCAGAAGAAGCACCGGCUAACUCCGUGCCAGCAGCCGCGGUAAUACGGAGGGUGCAAGCGUUAAUCGGAAUUACUGGGCGUAAAGCGCACGCAGGCGGUUUGUUAAGUCAGAUGUGAAAUCCCGGGCUCAACCUGGGAACUGCAUCUGAUACUGGCAAGCUUGAGUCUCGUAGAGGGGGGUAGAAUUCCAGGUGUAGCGGUGAAAUGCGUAGAGAUCUGGAGGAAUACCGGUGGCGAAGGCGGCCCCCUGGACGAAGACUGACGCUCAGGUGCGAAAGCGUGGGGAGCAAACAGGAUUAGAUACCCUGGUAGUCCACGCCGUAAACGAUGUCGACUUGGAGGUUGUGCCCUUGAGGCGUGGCUUCCGGAGCUAACGCGUUAAGUCGACCGCCUGGGGAGUACGGCCGCAAGGUUAAAACUCAAAUGAAUUGACGGGGGCCCGCACAAGCGGUGGAGCAUGUGGUUUAAUUCGAUGCAACGCGAAGAACCUUACCUGGUCUUGACAUCCACGGAAGUUUUCAGAGAUGAGAAUGUGCCUUCGGGAACCGUGAGACAGGUGCUGCAUGGCUGUCGUCAGCUCGUGUUGUGAAAUGUUGGGUUAAGUCCCGCAACGAGCGCAACCCUUAUCCUUUGUUGCCAGCGGUCCGGCCGGGAACUCAAAGGAGACUGCCAGUGAUAAACUGGAGGAAGGUGGGGAUGACGUCAAGUCAUCAUGGCCCUUACGACCAGGGCUACACACGUGCUACAAUGGCGCAUACAAAGAGAAGCGACCUCGCGAGAGCAAGCGGACCUCAUAAAGUGCGUCGUAGUCCGGAUUGGAGUCUGCAACUCGACUCCAUGAAGUCGGAAUCGCUAGUAAUCGUGGAUCAGAAUGCCACGGUGAAUACGUUCCCGGGCCUUGUACACACCGCCCGUCACACCAUGGGAGUGGGUUGCAAAAGAAGUAGGUAGCUUAACCUUCGGGAGGGCGCUUACCACUUUGUGAUUCAUGACUGGGGUGAAGUCGUAACAAGGUAACCGUAGGGGAACCUGCGGUUGGAUCACCUCCUUA
rnacentral:rRNA from 1 species